rnacentral:lncRNA from 1 species
AUGACAGCAAAAGGAAUUGAUAAAUCCUCCAAGCUCACAGUCUCUACAUUGGGAAUCCAGGAAAUAUUUUGCUCAGGUUUGGAGAUGUCUCUUGAAACUGUAUUGCUAUCUAGAGGCAAGAGUUUCCUGUGCAUAUCCUCAUACCAAAGGAUAGCUCCCUCUCCAACUUUUACCAAGGAUUCAUUUCUCACUUGGCUGUUUUCACACACACACAAAAACCCCCAAACCCAAAAUGGCUCAGUGUCUUUGAGGAAGUUGCCGUGUCAACUCAAAUUAGGAAAAAAACAGGUCUCAUCAGGAUCUGACUAUCGGUGAUGUGUUGGCUCACCUCGUCCUCAAAGUGAACGAUUUUCUCCCAAACUUCAUCUUCUAGGAGCAAGAAUCCAACCUCAUGCCUGAAAAAAGUGGCAAACCUCUCAAUGUCACGGACCCCAGAGUCCAUCUUUGGUCACUAAAAACUCACGUCGCCUGAGGUCCAAUGUGUUCUUUUUAAGCAGCCUUGAAUCCUCUAUGGAUUGAGGUAAAGUAGGAUAAUAUUCAAUUAAGACACAAAUAAACAGAGAACAGGUGUGAACACUACCUGCUGAAAUUUUUUGUUCUAUUUUGUCACUUACAUACAUAUUUAACCACCUGUUGGAUUCCAUGACGUGUCUUUGAGUGAUGCUGAUGGGCUCUCUGACAUUUUCAUUCUCAUCAAUCUCAUGGCAAGUCAUAAACUCAUAAACAUGUUACACUUUUCCACAUUGUGCUCUAUUACAGUUCCCGAAAUGGGAAAAUAGAAGAUUUACAUAAAUCUUUCAGAAUAGUUGCACUUGACUUUGAAACAAUGCUUAGUUUCUGUUUCUUACAUUCUAUUUCAUCUGUAAAGAUCUGAGCUGGAAACACCUGCCCUUGCUAACUAAUUACAACUUCACCUAGGCUGCAAACUUACUCUUGCUUCUAACGCCUGGAAUUAACAGAGGAUUAGAUACCUGCCUUCUGCAAUCAUGCUUAAGGCUCCUUCACUGUCACCCGUUCUUAGUAAAGUCAGACAAAAGUGGAAGAAGAAAAGUACACAUUUUUAUUUAUUUAUUUAUUUUUUUACUACCACCUUCAUCAUUUUAGGAGAUAUCUUGCCUAAUUCACUUUAGCUUUCUUUUGACCCGGGAACUCAUGUGUUUCUUCAGUGAGACUGUCUUAGGUAUCAUUUAAGAAACACCCCCAAAUGCCUAAUGUAUACAUCAGUGUGAAUGAUGCAGACUUGUUAUCAUCCCUCCCAAGAUGCCAGUCUAUAUAUCUCUCUCUUAAACAUUUGGGAUUUAGCAAGGUUAUGCUGCAUGAUGUUCCCAAGGAGAAGUGCCCGUGACGUCUGCGAGUCUGAUAAAUGUUCUUAUCUGAUAUUGUUCCAUUUUCUGUUGGGAAAGUUCUAUCAGAUGAAACAAGACUGUGUAGACCCCCCCAUUCCCUUUCUC